GGGGGGUGGGGAACGGCUGUCACAGCAGGGUCCCGGGGAGCUGAGAAGUUGGAGGAGCCCUCCCCCAGCUCCCAUCUGGAAGCCAGAAGGUUUUGGUCUGUGGCUUUCAGGUACCCGGGAGAACCUGUCCUCUCCCUUCCCCCGCCGUACAUCUGUGAGUCCGAAAGCUUCGCGCCUCGUCUACAGUUCGACUUGAGGUCUUUGCUCCAGAGAUCUGGAAGCCUUUUCUGAUCUGCUGAUCCGGCGGGGCGGCCUGGGCUCGUGGGUGGGCUCAGGGAAAGAACUGUGAGCGUCUCUUCGAGCCCCGGAGACCCGCAGGGCUAGGGCGAGCAGCUGGCGGCCAGAUGUGUAGGCAGGAGCGUUAGCAGCCUUCAACGCCACGCGGGACAUCUGAACCCACGCUCCUGCCAAGCACGUCCGUUUCACCUUUGGCUAGGCCUCCAGAUCCUUCAUCCCGCGCUGCGACAGAGCCCGCUCUCGAGACCUUGUGGCACGCUGGGAAGUGGGGAAUCCCCGGGCCGUCGCGGGGAGAGGCCAAGAGUUCCCAGAAGGCGCAGGUCACUGCACGCAGGGGCGAGGUCUGAACGUCCCACCCCGUCUCUGGUUGACGUAAUCGGCCCCUAGGGCUGUCGGCUGGCUACCGAGCUCCGGAACUCCGCCUUCUGACUCGUUUCCUCCCAGGCUCCACCCUGCAGUCUCUCUGCCUCAAGCCAGUGGACCUUGUCAGAGUCCAAGACCCCUGGAAACCGGUCUGGACACUUCCUGCUUCACACUAGUCACAACUUGUGGCCUGGCACCUCCCAGGCUUCAGAAGCUGCCACCUGCCUAUUGAAUCCUGCAGAGCAGGGGAGGCGGAUUGUGUCUGUUCCCUUGCUUUUUUGCAAGGAGAUCCUACCACGGCCUUAGUUUCCUCAUCUAUUAAGAAAACAGCCGGGUGGUGGUGGCACACGCCUUUAAUCCCAGCCCUCCCUUGGGAGGCAGAGGCAGGUGGAUCUCAGCGCGUUACAAGCCUGCCUGGUCUAGCCAGGGAUAGAGAGAUAGAAAUAUAGAGAGAUAAACAAACAAACAAACAAACAAAAAGAUAAGAUCUUAAAUAAAGAUAAGAUCGAAGCACG